rnacentral:rRNA from 1 species
AUUGAACGCUGGCGGCAGGCUUAACACAUGCAAGUCGAGCGAGCGGCGGACGGGUGAGUAAUGUAUGGGAAACUGCCUGAUGGAGGGGGAUAACUACUGGAAACUGUAGCUAAUACCGCAUACCCUCAGAUGUGCCCAGCUGGGAUUAGGUAGUAGGUGAGGUAAUGGCUCACCAAGGCGACGAUCCCUAGCUGGUCUGAGAGGAUGACCAGCCACACUGGAACUGAGACACGGUCCAGACUCCUACGGGAGGCAGCAGUUGGGAAUAUUGCACAAUGGGCGCAAGCCUGACGCAGCCAUGCCGCGUGUGUGAAGAAGGCCUUCGGGUUGUAAAGUACUUUCAGUGAGGAGGCGUUACCCACAGAAGAAGCACCGGCUAACUCCGUGCCAGCCGCCGCGGUAAUUC